AGCGUAGACGGCGGAGCAAGUCUGAAGUGAAAGCCCGGGGCUCAACCCCGGGACUGCUUUGGAAACUGUUCCGCUAGAGUGCUGGAGAGGUAAGUGGAAUUCCUAGUGUAGCGGUGAAAUGCGUAGAUAUUAGGAGGAACACCAGUGGCGAAGGCGGCUUACUGGACAGUAACUGACGUUGAGGCUCGAAAGCGUGGGGAGGCAAAACA
rnacentral:rRNA from 1 species